rnacentral:rRNA from 1 species
CAUGCAAGUCGAGCGGAGAUGAGGUGCUUGCACUUAUCUUAGCGGCGGACGGGUGAGUAAUGCUUAGGAAUCUGCCUAUUAGUGGGGGACAACAUUCCGAAAGGRAUGCUAAUACCGCAUACGUCCUACGGGAGAAAGCAGGGGAUCUUCGGACCUUGCGCUAAUAGAUGAGCCUAAGUCGGAUUAGCUAGUUGGUGGGGUAAAGGCCUACCAAGGCGACGAUCUGUAGCGGGUCUGAGAGGAUGAUCCGCCACACUGGGACUGAGACACGGCCCAGACUCCUACGGGAGGCAGCAGUGGGGAAUAUUGGACAAUGGGGGGAACCCUGAUCCAGCCAUGCCGCGUGUGUGAAGAAGGCCUUAUGGUUGUAAAGCACUUUAAGCGAGGAGGAGGCUACUGAGACUAAUACUCUUGGAUAGUGGACGUUACUCGCAGAAUAAGCACCGGCUAACUCUGUGCCAGCAGCCGCGGUAAUACAGAGGGUGCGAGCGUUAAUCGGAUUUACUGGGCGUAAAGCGUGCGUAGGCGGCUUUUUAAGUCGGAUGUGAAAUCCCCGAGCUUAACUUGGGAAUUGCAUUCGAUACUGGGAAGCUAGAGUAUGGGAGAGGAUGGUAGAAUUCCAGGUGUAGCGGUGAAAUGCGUAGAGAUCUGGAGGAAUACCGAUGGCGAAGGCAGCCAUCUGGCCUAAUACUGACGCUGAGGUACGAAAGCAUGGGGAGCAAACAGGAUUAGAUACCCUGGUAGUCCAUGCCGUAAACGAUGUCUACUAGCCGUUGGGGCCUUUGAGGCUUUAGUGGCGCAGCUAACGCGAUAAGUAGACCGCCUGGGGAGUACGGUCGCAAGACUAAAACUCAAAUGAAUUGACGGGGGCCCGCACAAGCGGUGGAGCAUGUGGUUUAAUUCGAUGCAACGCGAAGAACCUUACCUGGCCUUGACAUACUAGAAACUUUCCAGAGAUGGAUUGGUGCCUUCGGGAAUCUAGAUACAGGUGCUGCAUGGCUGUCGUCAG